ACAGGUGGUGGCUUGGUGAUCGAACACCUGUUUUGCAUGCAGGAGGUUGCAGGUUCAAUACCUGUCUCCUAUA